GCACGGGAGGGGCAACCCUUCAGUGGCGGACGGGUGAGUAACGCGUGGGAAUCUGUCUCCGGGUGGGGGAUAACGAUGGGAAACUAUCGCUAAUACCGCAUGAAACCUGAGGGUCAAAGGCGCAAGCCGCCUGGAGAGGAGCCCGCGUUCGAUUAGCUUGUUGGCGGGGUAAAAGCCCACCAAGGCGAUGAUCGAUAGCUGGUCUGAGAGGAUGAUCAGCCACACUGGGACUGAGACACGGCCCAGACUCCUACGGGAGGCAGCAGUGGGGAAUAUUGGACAAUGGGCGCAAGCCUGAUCCAGCAAUGCCGCGUGAGUGAAGAAGGUCUUCGGAUUGUAAAGCUCUUUCGACGGGGACGAUGAUGACGGUACCCGUAGAAGAAGCCCCGGCUAACUUCGUG
rnacentral:rRNA from 1 species